rnacentral:rRNA from 1 species
GACGAACGCUGGCGGCGUGCCUAACACAUGCAAGUCGAACGAGAUCCAUGGGAGCUUGCUCCCGGAAGAUCUAGUGGCGAACGGGUGAGUAACACGUGAGAAACCUGCCCUGGAGUGGGGAAUAACUCGGGGAAACUCGAGCUAAUACCGCAUACCCUCGGAUGGUCGCAUGGCCGACCGAGGAAAAGAUUUAUCGCUCUAGGAGGGUCUCGCGGCCUAUCAGCUAGUUGGUGGGGUAACGGCCUACCAAGGCAACGACGGGUAGCUGGUUUGAGAGAACGAUCAGCCACACUGGGACUGAGACACGGCCCAGACUCCUACGGGAGGCAGCAGUGGGGAAUCUUGCGCAAUGGGCGAAAGCCUGACGUAGCAACGCCGCGUGCGGGAUGACGGCC